AACGAACGCUGGCGGCAGGCCUAACACAUGCAAGUCGAGCGGAUCCUUCGGGAUUAGCGGCGGACGGGUGAGUAACGCGUGGGAAUAUGCCCUUCUCUACGGAAUAGCCUCGGGAAACUGAGAGUAAUACCGUAUACGCCCUUUGGGGGAAAGAUUUAUCGGAGAAGGAUUAGCCCGCGUUGGAUUAGGUAGUUGGUGGGGUAAUGGCCUACCAAGCCUACGAUCCAUAGCUGGUUUGAGAGGAUGAUCAGCCACACUGGGACUGAGACACGGCCCAGACUCCUACGGGAGGCAGCAGUGGGGAAUCUUAGACAAUGGGGGCAACCCUGAUCUAGCCAUGCCGCGUGAGUGAUGAAGGCCUUAGGGUUGUAAAGCUCUUUCAGCUGGGAAGAUAAUGACGGUACCAGCAGAAGAAGCCCCGGCUAACUCCGUG
rnacentral:rRNA from 1 species